GAAGAAGUAAAAGAAAGAAGACGGAGAUGGAAGAGCAUCAAGACGAAGAGAAAGAGGAGGAAAAGGAAACGCAGGAAGAGGAGGAGGAGGAGGAGAAAGUGCGUUCAAUCUCCUUACAAUAGAACAGGAAAAGAAGAGAGAAAAUAUGUAGGACGAGGAAGAUAAAAGAGGAGGAAGGAGGAAAGAGGAAGCGGAGCGCGGCGUCCCUUUCACAGGUGGCCAGAUUAACUUCUGAAACACUGAUGAAAACGCUGCUGGCUGAAUGGAGUAUAUUUUCGGAAUGUCAUCGUGUAGAAAAAGAUUUCUCCUGAGCCAAGAUCGUGCCUCUGAUUGUGGCGGCGGUGGACUGAACCGUUGCUGGGAGUCACUAACAUCACAG